rnacentral:rRNA from 2 species
GCGCGAAAACUUCACACUGCAGGAAACUGUGAUGAGGGAACUCCAAGUGACUGCCCAAUGGGUAGCCUUUUCUUGAAUCUUAAUAGUUCUUGGAAUAAGGGCUGGGAAAGACCGGUGCCAGCCGCCGCGGUAAUACCGGCAGCUCAAGUGGUCGUCGCUUUUAUUGGGCCUAAAACGUCCGUAGCCUGUUUGGUAAAUCUGUGGGUAAAUCAACGAGCUUAACUCGUUGAAUUCUGCAGAGACUGCCAGACUAGGGACCGGGAGAGGUAUGAGGUACUCUGGGGGUAGGGGUAAAAUCCUGUCAUCCUCAGAGGACCACCUGUUGCGAAGGCGUCAUACUGGAACGGAUCCGACGGUCAGGGACGAAGCCUAGGGGCACGAACCGGAUUAGAUACCCGGGUAGUCCUAGGUGUAAACGCUGUGGAUUUGGUGUGUGGGGUCCGCAAUGGGCCCCAUGUGCCGGAGUGAAGAUGUUAAAUCCACU